rnacentral:lncRNA from 1 species
CAUGUCAGUGCAAAUGAAGACACGCAUUCACAGCUCUGAUCCUGACCUCGCCAAUAUACACCUAAUUGCGCAUCGUAAAGGCCGACGUCAUCGAACCCCAACACCUCCACCUCGACGACCGGACGAGAAAGAAUCAUUGUGAAGCCACAGAACCGGUCAGAGAAACAAACCUUAAGCCAUUUCAGAGUAAACAGCUCAUCAGCGCCAGCAACAAAUGUGGGCACAGGUGCUCGAAUAUCUGAGGGGGAGGAAGUUGUGAAUAUCAGAAACCUCCUUCAUGCAGAUUUUAAAGGAGACCAGAGCACACCACUUGAUUGGCGACAGCACUCCCAGAUUGCAGUGACCCCUGCAGCAGGACAAUGUAUCCGGAAACGCUGCAAAACCUGGACAGGAAUGGUCCAAGGAAUGUGACGAAGGGCUCAAGAUUCCCGAGAUCUCAAUCUGAUUGAAUCUGUCCAAACUAUAGAGACACCACCUGGUCUCCCUCAGGAGUCAAAGGAUCUGCCAGGAGUGUGCAGUGGUGCCAGACACCAAAGGACACUCCCAGAGGUCCUGUGUCCAUGCCUCGAUGGCUCAGGGCGGAGUACGAUUCAGAGUUGAGCCUCCACAUGAUCAAUCGUGCUCAAUCAAAUUAGGAUUUGGGGAAUUCGGAGGCCGUGUCGGCACCUUGAGCUAUUUGGCAGGUUCCUGAGCAGUACUUGCAGUGUGGCAGGACUCUCUGUCAUGCUGUGGGGGUCACUGCCAUCUAUUAGAGCUGUUGCAAAUGGUAUCCACAUGAGUGGCAGGAACCCAACAUUUCCCAGCAUAAGAUUGCAUUGCAACAAGAUGGUCAAAGUUAUUCAUUUCACUAGUCCGUGGUUUUAACACUGCAGCUGAUUGGUGUAUGUUGUUAAGUCGUGAGUUGAUAAAGUGAAAGUCUGCACCAACAGAAAACACUGAUCCUGAGACGCCUCGUCAGUAGUCUUGCCUUGAAUUCCGUGACUUUGUGACAUCCCACUAUGUCACAGAGUCACACGUUUGCAUGAUUUAUUCCAAGAAUUGAUUUGAAUUGAUUCAGCCCAGCUGCUCUGUUAUUGUUAGCAGUGCUGGUUCAGGCAUGUGUGAGCUGACCAAUCAGGUAACUGGGUGUUCAGGAGGGGGGGGCCUUAAAAAAACAGAGACAGAGGGAGAAUACAGCGCUGCAACACUGGACUGUAUGAGAAAACUGAUGUGUUUUUAGCACCAAAACAUGCAAACAUGCACGGGUAGUUGCCCAAAGUAGAGUUAUUAUGAAAAUUGAAUAAAAACAAGCAUAAUAUGUCUCCUUAGAAAUAG